rnacentral:rRNA from 1 species
UACGGAGGAUGCGAGCGUUAUCCGGAAUGAUUGGGCGUAAAGGGUGCGCAGGCGGUCCUGCAAGUCUGAUGUGAAAGGCGGGGGCUCAACUCCUGGACUGCAUUGGAAACUGUAGAUCUUGAGUGCCGGAGAGGUAAGCGGAAUUCCUAGUGUAGCGGUGAAAUGCGUAGAUAUUAGGAGGAACACCAGUGGCGAAGGCGGCUUACUGGACGGUAACUGACGUUGAGGCUCGAAAGCGUGGGGAGCAAACAGG